GGACACAAUAUAGCUGGCCCAGUCCAGCUCUUUAAGGGCCGUGGGUUGGGUCGCGCCAGCCCAUGGGCCUUGAACCUCAAAUGACUGAAGAGUGAAGAGUGAAAAAAAGAGAAGCAGAGAGCCCGAGAGAGAGAGAGCCUCGAGCGAUUGAGCCUGAAGAGUGGAGAGAGACCGAAAGAGCCUGAGGGGAGGCUGGAGGUGGCACGAAUCUGGCUCGGAGAGUGAAGAGACCGAGAGAGCCUG
rnacentral:lncRNA from 1 species